rnacentral:rRNA from 1 species
CGUUGGGAGCUCUCCCAUAUGGUCGACCUGCAGGCGGCCGCGAAUUCACUAGUGAUUCGUAUUACCGCGGCUGCUGGCACGGAGUUAGCCGGAGCUUAUUCUCCCGGUACUGUCAUUAUCAUCCCGGGUAAAAGAGCUUUACAACCCUAAGGCCUUCAUCACUCACGCGGCAUUGCUGGAUCGGGCUUUCGCCCAUUGUCCAAUAUUCCCCACUGCUGCCUCCCGUAGGAGUCUGGGCCGUGUCUCAGUCCCAGUGUGGCUGAUCAUCCUCUCAGACCAGCUAAGGAUCGUCGCCUUGGUGCGCCUUUACCACACCAACUAGCUAAUCCUACGCGGGCUCAUCCCUCGGCGAUAAAUCUUUGGACUUACGUCGUCAUCCGGUAUUAGCAGUCAUUUCUAACUGUUAUUCCGAACCAAGGGGCAGAUUCCCACGCGUUACGCACCCGUGCGCCACUAAGGCCGAAGCCUUCGUUCGACUUGCAUGUGUUAGGCAUGCCGCCAGCGUUCGUUCUGAGCCAUGAUCAAACUCUAAUCGAAUUCCCGCGGCCGCCAUGGCGGCCGGGAGCAUG